rnacentral:sRNA from 1 species
AGCCAUAUAAUUUGUUAUAAACACACACACACACACACAAACACACGUGAAAACGAACUGCUUAUCGAAACGGGGAUUGUAACACUAAAUGCUUAAACAAAAUAUAAAUAAUGCAUACCAAAGUCAACUGAAGUCAAUGCAAACGGUUCCGGUUUAGUGUUGUACUAAUUAACCGCCAUACUUUUUUCUAACCACACAAUAAAGUAAAUAAAACAAUUCAAUCAAAUCAUAUUUAUUAUUAUGUAACGUUUACGAAGGCAAAGUGCAAUUACAACAUAAUUAAUUUAUUCGAUUUAACAUCAGAACGACUACGACGUACGCUAAACAACAACCCUGCUACUAUCCAAUACUUAGUAGUGCCCUUUUAAGCUCUACGUACCGAAUAUAAAACGAACGAUCUUUAGAACAACAAUGGUCCAUUGAAGAGUCUGGAGAUUUUGACGAAGACGACUGUGUCUAAACCUUGGUCCACAACAACAACAAAUUACUGCAAUAUUUUUAUUUUUAACAUGCUUUAAAUUGGAUGUGAACGAAGAAAAAAACUUUAUUUUUUUCAAGAUAGAAACCAGAAACAAACAUACAACGUGAUAUAGCUUACAUUAAUGAAGAAAUGAAAUGAAAUAUUUAUGAAUAAAUUCUAGCAAGACGUUUGAAUGUUUCACAACAUAAUUUAUUGAGAUUUCUUUUCUAACAAAAAACGAAACGAAACAUUAACGUUUUGUUUUUAAAGAAAACAACUACUGUCCUACUCUACUGUUACUACUUAUAAAGAAACAUGAAAUAACAAACUGCAAUACUACUGAUGAAUUGUAAUCCAUAGCAUGUAGUUUUUUUUUUGUAAAAUUUUAGUUACAUCACUCUGUAUAUUUUUAUAUGAAUAUUGAAAAUUGUUAUAUUAACAUUUAGGGGUCGAUUAUGGAUGGCAACUCAACUAUAAUUACAUUGCCAGAAGGUAAUAUCAUACAAUAAAAAUUAGAAUGAUGCUGAAAAGUUUUGUCAGUUUCAUGCAACAGUAGUGUUUUGAACGUUCAGCAUCUAAGAAAAUUGUAAAAAGUAUGCAAUUCAAUGCAGAAAUGGACCUUUCUAUAAGAAAUUUGCCUGUUAGCACCUCAACUGAAGUUGGGUUGCAAUCCAUUAUCGAGUUGUAAAUGUCACUUUCGUUCAUGGCAACAACAUGAAGAGAAGCUUGCAAAUGGCAAGUCGGAUCAGUUCUCCUCGAGUAAUUGAGUGCGAUUAUCACUUAAUUUUGUAUUUUGAAAAUUUCUCAAAAUCAUCCUCCUCCGUUUAUAGCAAUGCUUUAAUUAUCGAUAUAUGAUACUAUCAUUAUAUACAUACAUACAUAAAAACCGCAACAUUUUAGCUCGUAAUCAAAUCUAAUUACAUUGCUUAGAUAUAUUUUUUUUAAAGAACGGAGAUAUUUCAUAUUUGUUAACAAUAUCGUACUGUUGGAAAUUGCAGUGCCGAAGAAGCUUCUGCUUCCUCAUAGAAAGAGAGAGCAACCUCCCUAAUAAUGUUGUGAAAUUAAUUAUAAUUUAGAUUUAUAUUAGUUAUUCUAAAAUAAAUAAAAUUUACCAAUUUAACAAUAAAUGGUACUAAUACUCAACAAAGAAAUAAAACAAAGUAAUUUAACUGUAAUACAAAACACCAACAACAAUACUCCUCAAACAAGAUAUUACUUAAUAUACGCAAAAUAUGCAAAUAUGUAUUAUUUAACCAUCGCAAAAUGGAAAAACAUGUAUCGAACCGAACGAACAAGAGGACUUAAACCAGGAAAUAAAGUUAUGGAAUUGCAAGUAUGUUUUUUAGCCUUCCUAGAAUGUUGGUAUGAGUGACUGGCCUUUUCUUGUAAUCAUUGGCAAACAUAAGAUUUUUUUUUUUUGUUUUAUAGGAGGUCGAGAAAGCUGCAGAUAAAAUCAACUGAAUAAAUUGUAGUAGAAAUUUAUUGAAUUGGUGAUUUAUUCUUUAAAUAUAAAUAAACGAGACUAUAAUGAA